rnacentral:rRNA from 1 species
UACGUAGGGGGCUAGCGUUGUCCGGAUUUAUUGGGCGUAAAGAGCGUGUAGGCGGCCAUGUAGGUCCGGUGUGAAAACUCGAGGCUUAACCUCGAGAUGUCAUCGGAAACCAUUUGGCUAGAGUCCGGAAGAGGAGAGUGGAAUUCCUGGUGUAGCGGUGAAAUGCGCAGAUAUCAGGAAGAACACCAAUGGCGAAAGCAGCUCUCUGGGACGGUACUGACGCUGAGACGCGAAAGCGUGGGGAGCAAACAGG